UUAAGUUAAAUAUGCAUAUAAAGAAAAAAAAAACUAAAACUUAAAUAAAACCUAAAUAUUCUCUCUCUCUCUCUCCACUUCAUGUUAAAAACUACCCAACUUUAUCCCCCCUUCUAAUUGUGCGUGUGUGAAUGAUUAUUUCAGGAUAGUUUAACAAACAGCCGUCUUUACCCAUAUUGUCUUUUCUUCUACUCACGGUAAUUCUUCAACUUUUCCUUGCAUUUUUUGUUCAAUUUUCUUAUAUGGGUGUUGUUUAUUGAGUAAAAGUUUUGAUUUUUGUCAUCAGAUUUGUCUUGUUUCUCCUUUUAUGUUUUUCCUUCAAAUCAUAUAUAUAUAUGUUAGGGAUUGAAAUACUUUGGAGCUAUUAUUUGAAUAUUUUUAUACUUAUCAAGUGUUUGAUAAAAUUCCUAAGAGAAUCUAGUAAAAGAAAAACAUAAAAUAUGCCAAUAAAUGAAGGAAAUUAGAAGCGAAGUUUAGUAGGUUUUGAGAAACUUUUGCAAAAUUGGGAUAUUAAGAUGAAUUUGCUUUUCAAUUUGGCCAGUGGAUUUUGGAAUUAGGUGUGAUGACAUUAGAUCCCCUCACCCCAAAAAAAAAAAAAAAAUCUUUUGUAAGAACUUUAGAAAAUUGGGAUCUUUCUAUUAUUGUUCACUUCAUCUUGGUAUAUAAUUAAUCAUCUUUGUUUUUUUUUUUAAAGAAAAUUGUACCUAGUAUUAAUGUAAUGAAAAGAGUUAAUAAGUUAUUCAAAAGUUAGAGUUAUAGAAUAUUUAAGCUACAAAAUUUUAACUAUAAAAUAUUAGGUAGCUUUGAUAUGUUGGUUCAAAGGAUGGUGUUGAAGCCUGGCUUGGUUCAAAAUUAAUGUAUUUAUCUUCUUUUGUACUGGAAUAAUAAAAAGAAUGGAGUCUGUCCUACAUUACUUUGUUUCAGAAGAUGUAUUAGAGUGGGCGCAAAAGGUUCAAGUAGUCUCCAUACGAAAUCUAAAUAUGUAAGCUAUCUUAUGAUUAUUACUAUUAUUAUUUUUUACUCAAUAUCUUAUUUCUUUCAGCUUUGUAUUUAUUGUAAAUGUUGAUUCAUUGAGUGCUUAAUAAUUUAACUUAGUUCAAGUUUGACACAAACUAUUUAAUAGAUUAAUUUAAAGCGUUUGGAAUGCAAAAUUUUUGCAAGUGAAUUAAGAUUGAGUAUGUGCUUGUAAUCUUUUGAUUAUAUUGUUAGUUUGAAGUGACAUAUGAUCAAAUUGGUGAAAUUGUUUUGGGAAAAAUCUUUAAUUUUGUAAAGAUUAAAAAUGACAGGUACCUUCAAAGUCAUCAUCUACUACAAUAUUGACUCAACAAAGCGAGUAUAAAAAAUAAAAAUCAAGAAAUAAAAUAUAAAAUCUAAGGAAGUUGAAGCAUUCAUGAAACAAUUGUGCUUUACAUAUUUCUCCUUUUGUAUAAUGUUACUUUUAUUUUUCUUCUACAAUGUAAUCUUAUUUUUAGACUAUUGAUUUUUUUUUCACAUUUUAGAUUUCUUUGUCAUUAAAUUUUGAUUUCGAUGACUACAUAUUGUUAUUAAAAUUUAUGUGAGACUAUAUAAAUUGCCUUUAUAACAAAUUUGAGACUAAAUUAAUUACCAAUUAUAUUUGCAAAAAUUGUCACAAAUGACACCUACUUGAGACGAUUACGUAUCGUCGCAAUAUGUAAACUUCAACAAUAGAAAAAUAACAUUGCUAAUUGUAUAUUCAAACCUCUAAAAUUACAUUUUUUAAUAAUUAUUGAGACUUUAUUUGCAUACUCUUGAGACAAAUAUUAUAGUCACUAUAAAUCACCUACUCUAACAAAUCUGAAGUGUCAUUAAUUGCAUUUUUGAAUCGCUAAUUUGACCAUUUUUAAUACUAUUUGUGACAAUUUUAACUUAAUUUUAAGACAUUGAUGACAAUGAUUUUUGUCACAAAAACAUAUCUUUAAUAUGAAGAAAAUAAUUUUGGUCACUAGAACUUUUUAAGACGGUCUUUCUACGACUAACGCGUGACGAUAUAUUUUUAGUUACAAAAAUAUAAGAUGACUAAUUUGUUAUUUUUAGUGACUAAAUUUUUUGUAAUAAAUAUCAAUUUUCUUGUAGUGAUUAAAAAUUUAUUUUGCAAUCAUGCUUUAUCAUACUAUAAAAUCAUAAUAAACUAUGAAAAUAAAUUUUGUAUAUUCCACUCAGAGUGACAAUGUUCAAACUCAGGUAUCGUCAACGUCUACAGGUUGAUUCUCAUUCGCAAGUCCUUCUAAUUCAAGGAAAUGACAUAAUUAUUAUCCGUAAAUGUGAAAUGCAAUCAAUGUUAUGCAUAUAAAACUCAAAACAAUCAUCUAUCCCUGUUAUACAACUCUCGAUUCUAUGAAAUUACUGAAAUACCCCUACCUCUAGAAAUUGCUAAAACACUCCUAAAACAUAAAUUACCCCUGAAAUGACGAAUUACUAAACUGCCCUCAAUGAUAGCGGGGAUGUAGUCGUCGACUCUCAUGCUUCUGAUUGGUACCUCCCUUGGCCGGUAAGGUUACUGGAAAAUAAAGAUAACGGCAGGUCAGGUUCAUGGGUUAUCAGGUCAGUUUCAGGUCGAGUUUGAUAGCUUUCUCUCUGUCCCCCCUCAUUCUCAAUUUAUAGAAUUGAUUCCUUCUUAUUUUUUUUUAAAGCAUAAUACAAAUUAGGCUAAUGGUUGUGCUCGGGUUUUCUUGAUUCGUUUCAUGACGAGUUUAAACAAAUUCAAACACAGCCCAUUCAUUAAACAAAUAAAAUUUAAUCAUCCACACCCAUAAUUAAUGUUAGAUAAUUGAGUUGCAUCAACUUCGCCAAUAACAAUUUGUAAUAAGUCCGACAACUUUAAAAUUAAUGUCAAAGAGAAAAAAUUAAUAAUACACAAAUAGAAAAAUUAAAGUGCAUAUGUUACAAAGGUUUUGGUCCAUUGUCCUUAGUUACCGUUAUUGGUAUAACCAAACAACUAUUUGUGUUGUGCACACCUAUUGAUGAUUAUUAUGGGCUAAAGUACUCUGAUUGAAUUAUUCACAGGGCCACUGAGAUUACAAGUGAUUUAUUGAAUUACUGGCCAGGUCAUCAGGAUUACAGAUGACAUAUUGAACUACUAGCUAGGUCACCAAGGGUACAAGUGACUUAUUAAACUACUGGCGGGGUCACCAGGAGCAUGACAUACCAGGAGUAUAAGUGGCACUAUGUAACAUUAAAAAAAAUGAACAAAUGAAAGGUUUAUUGAUAAAUAAUUUCUUAAAUGAUUAUUUAUUGAAAACGAUUAUUACACUAUGACUUAACUGAUUAUGAGUUUUGUCAUAUGUAUAUGUUAGAUAUAAAAUGAUCACAAGUUUCUAAUUUAUGGUACUUCAUAAUGAUUAUUAUGUAUUUUAUUGUUAUUAGUAAUCUUAUACAUGAGUUUGCUUACCGAAUUGAUGGCUCACCCCUCAUCUCCAACAUUUUUGCAAAUUGAUUUUAGAAAUGUGGGCCUUCGAGUUUAGAGAAGAGAAUUUAUUAGCUGAAAACUUUGGCGUUUCUUGAUGAAUAAUUUGUAGCUACUUUGGUUAUUCCUUAGAGGCGGAUUUUGUUUUGGAGGAUUAUUGUAUUAUUUAUUGUUUUUGAGACUAUGCUUUGAC
rnacentral:lncRNA from 1 species